UUGGAAGGUUUGGUCUAUCUGCAUGAGCAGGGUGUCAUACACCGUGAUAUCAAAGGUGCAAAUAUUUUGACGACAAAAGAGGGUCUUGUUAAGCUUGCUGACUUUGGAGUUGCCACUAAACUAAACGAGGCGGAUGUUAACACUCACUCAGUGGUUGGAACUCCUUACUGGAUGGCUCCUGAGGUUAUUGAAAUGUCCGGAGUUUGUGCUGC